rnacentral:misc_RNA from 1 species
CUUCCCUAGGGUUUAUGGUGCAUUUGGAGAGAGAGGGGGAAAUGGAGGAAUCAACAGCAAAGAAGAGUGUACCAGUUUUGCCAUGGAUGAGGAGCCCGGUUGACAUUACUCAAUUCGAAGAUUGCCCUUUUGAUCUCAUCCCUUGCCUUGAUCCCAGGUUGAAGGUGGCCUUGCAGAAGUUGGGUUUCUCAUCACUCUUGCCAGUGCAAAUUGCAGUUUGGCAAGAAACAAUUGGACCUGGCGCUUUUGAGCGGGACCUUUGCAUAAAUUCGCCAACGGGAAGUGGGAAAACUUUAGCUUAUGCUUUGCCAAUAGUGCAAAGGCUGUCAACUCGUGCAAUCAAAUGUCUUCGUGCUUUGAUUGUUUUGCCCACACGUGAUUUAGCAGUGCAGGUUAAAGAAGUUUUUGCUGCAAUUGCACCUGCGGUGGGCUUAUCUGUUGGUUUGGCUGUAGGGCAAUCUUCAAUUUCUCAUGAAAUUUCAGAGCUUAUUAAGAGACCUAAGUUUGAGGCUGGCAUUUGUUAUGACCGGGAAUAUCUUAUGCAAGGGUUUGAGAGUUCAGUGGAUAUAUUGGUGGCAACUCCAGGACGGCUUAUGGAUCAUAUCACCACCACCAAGGGAUUUACACUUGAGCAUCUCUGUUAUCUUGUGGUUGAUGAAACAGAUCGCAUGCUUAGGGAGGAAUACCAAUCUUGGCUUCCUACUGUGCUCAAAAUGACUCGUUCUCACGAUGAAAGUAUCAUGCCUUAUGUUAAUAGUUUUUUUCCUUAUGUUUUUGGUCCUUUGAAAACCAUAAGGAGAUGGUGAGUUCUAUAUCUGUUAUUUCUUCAUAAUAUCUGCUUUCUCCAGCUUUCUCUACAAGCAUGGUUUGAUGCACCAUUCUACAGAAUGUAUAUUUUUAUAUUUUGGCCAAUAUAGUCAUUACUGGGAGCUGCUGAUGCUUGAAAGAUGCUAUGAUUAUUUUUGGGGUUGUUAGCAUUGAUUAAAUUCCUUCAUUGGAUUCACACUACUGUUAAGUUUUCUCUGUAUUAUUAUUGUGCCAAAAGAUAGAUAAGAAAUUUUAUCUUAUCUUGUAAUUGUUGUUUCCAAUUUGUUGCAGUGGUGUUGAAAGGGGUUUUAAGGGCAAAUGCUACCCAAGACUUGUUAAGAUGGUUUUGUCAGCCACAUUAACCCGAGAUCCAAGCAAGCUUGCUCAACUUGAUCUUCAUCACCCUUUGUUCUUGACAAGUGGGAAAAGGCGUUAUCAGCUCCCUGAAAAGUUGGAAUCCUACAGAGUGAUUUGCGAGUCCAAGCUGAAGCCUCUGUAUCUGGUUGCUCUUCUACAAAAUUUAGGAGGGGAGAAGUGCAUUGUUUUCACAUCAUCAGUGGAGUCGACACAUCGGCUUUGCACCUUACUGAACUUUUUUGGUGAUUUGAAACUCAAGAUCAAGGAAUAUUCAGGUCUUCAACGUCAAUCUGUUAGAAGCAAGACAUUGAAGGUCUUCCGGGAAGGAGAGAUACAAGUACUCGUUUCCUCUGAUGCAAUGACUCGUGGAAUGGAUGUUGAAGGGGUGAGAAAUGUCAUUAACUAUGAUAGGCCUCCAUUCAUAAAGACAUAUAUUCAUCGAGCUGGUCGGACAGCUAGAGCAGGCCAGGCUGGGCGUUGUUUCACACUGUUGCAUAGAGAUGAGGUAUGAUAUUCAUGUUGAUUGUUCCAUACUUGGCAAGUAUUACUUUAAAUUUAUAUGCCAAUGAGGUUUGUUGGAUCCAAAUUAGGUGUUUUCCUGGACCUAAAUUAUAUAAUGGAAUUACCCAACUCCCCCCUUCUUUUUCCUGGCUAAUCCAAAAGAGAAGCUCAAGCUUGAUCUUCUUCCUCUGGACCUUGUUGAGGCUGCUAAUGGCGUGGUAUCUUUCAUUCAAGUCAUUUGAUGUCAAUUGCACUGUUAUAAAAGGGUUCAUUCUUUAUGUGUAAAGCUGGUUUAAAACUAAGAUCCUAUCGCAAGGACAAUCUGUAGAGAAGGUUUCACAAUCUAAUAUGUGCAAUGAGCAAGCAUCACUCAGUCAAAUACCGGGUGAGCUGGAUUCAGCCCAGGUAAUAGCCAGUGCGAGUUUUACUGAUAACUGAACCCUGUAAUUUGAACUGGGACUGGCCACCUGAGUUCAGAUGAAUCGUUUCAGUAGAGUUUGACAUGGGCUUUUUUUGCCCAUUCUCAAAUUUAUUGUCAGACUGCGCAGAUCUUCACUGAGGGACCUACAAGUGCUCAAUCAUCAAUUGGCAACUGGAUCCAUUGUGACGCAAUUGAGCAUGUGAAUACUCAUAGAUUUAAAUGAUUAUUGAAUAAUUUUAAAUGCUUUUUUUCCGUUAUUAGAUUCCAGUAGUUUAUAGAUAGAUGGGCUUGGCUUCCUAGCUGGGCUCCUGUACAAUUUCCUUAAUUGUUCUAUUUCUGAUAUUUUCAAAUGGAAGCAUAUAGCAAAAGAAAGAUUGAGCAAAUAAGGUUCAACAUUGAAAAUAAUCCUUAUAUCCUCAAUUGGUUGUCAUUUCAUUUAUAACAUGUUAUGUCAACAAUUAUACUUGUUACAGGUAAAGCGUUUCAGGAAACUGUUACAGAAGGUUGACAAUGAUUCUUGUCCUGUUUACACUGUCCCUUCCAGUUCUGUGGAGUCUCUUCAUUCUAUUUAUGUGUCUGCACUGGAGAAACUGAAAGAGACGGUUGAAUCAGAAACAUCCAGGAAGCACAAAAUUGGUUUCAAAUCUUCAAGGACAGGCAGAGGAAAGGAGAAAAACUCAGCCAAGGAAUAGCUUUAUCAAUCAAGCAGCCUCCUUUGUGUCAGACAGUCUUUGUGUGUACACAGGUUAGUUUUAAGUGUACUGAAAAUUAAAAAAACUACAAACUUAUUCUUCUAAUAUGAAAAUUCAUUUCAACAAAAUUCAAUUGUAUAAUUCCAAUUUUUUACCAUAGCCAUUUUUAUUUUAGUUCAUUAUUUUCUCCAUGAUCAGAAAAUAAUGAUCCGCUGCAUCCGGAGAAAUUCUAGAUUUGUGCAUAAACACAAGUAAUCUGCGUG